ensembl:lncRNA
AGAAAAUAUAAUCACAUUUGUGAUCAUGCGACGAACAACUGUAUAAGUCCAAAAAAAACAAAAAAAUUAGAUAACCAUGUGACUUCAAUGUAUGUGUGCCACUUUGUAUACAGAAUCACUUUGGGGGGUGUUCGCGCGACCAAAACUCUAACAUUUUAAAAUAGUCUCACGCGGAAAAACCGUUUAUGUCCACUAACAAAAAAUGGAGACGCCGGUUGCUUUCAUGUCCGCUGCGGACAUUAAUAGACAAAACGUCGGCAAAAAAAGGAGAGCGAACAUAAAUGAAUGGAAGGACAGAGCAAGGAAGUCUUUGAGGGAUGCUGGGAAACCAUAUGUGAACCGGAGAGGAGAGCAAAAACGAGGAAAAAGUCCACCAAAAGCGGGAAAGGCGUGCAAGGAGACAUGUCCCAGGCAGUGUUCAAGCCUAACAGACCAAAGAAAACUCCAGCUCUUCACAGAGUUUUAUGCUGUCUCUUACGAGAGGCAGCAGGCUAUCAUUCUCUCUGGUUUGGAGCAGGUAUGCUAACUUAAGCAAUUCAUGACCAUAUCAUGUCAACAGUAUGCAAUGCAUUACAAUGUAGGCCCAUGAAAUAACCAGUGAAUUGAAUACUACUGUAUAUCUUCAAUUCACUAAGACUGCACAUGUGCCUGAUCACUGAUCAUCCCAAUAUGUCUUUUUACUUCUAGCACAAGGUGAGUUGCAGACCACGUGGGCCCGACACUGAGAAUACUAAGAGGAAGUACACCUUCAAGUACCAUGUGCAACAAGGAGGCCAAAGACUUGCUGUUUGUAAGCUCACAUUUAUGUCAGUCUUUCAACUGACCAACAGUCGCCUACAGGCCUCAUAGCAUUCAUCCUGCAGUGAGAGAGGGGAUAAGAGAGCACAUCCUGAGCUUCCCACGCCAACCGAACCACUACUCACGGAUGAAGGGAGAUGUGGAGAGGGAGUACCUGAGCCCUGAUUUAAACCUGCUCCGCAUGUUCCGCCUGUACAAGGAAAACAAUCCAGCAUCCACUGCAAAGUUCUGGCUCUAUAGGGACAUCUUCAAGCAGCAAAACCUCAGAUUUGGGCAGCCAAGAAGUGAUACUUGUGCAAAAUGUGACGCCCUGUUCUCAAAAUUAGUAGCUGCUACAACAGAUGGAGAAAGGUUGAAGAUCACAGCCGAGAGUGAGCUUCACCACCGGAAAGCCGAAAAAGCGUACACCCAGUUGCAGGCUGACACAGAGUGGGCCAAAGCCAAUGAUGACUGCCAUGUCAUUUGUAUCGACAUGCAGUGGGUAGUGUUCACGCCAAACCUGACACACUCCAACGUGUACUAUCAACGGCAGCUGGCCAACUACAACCUCUGUAUCCAGGAGAUGGGCACUGACAAACCUCCUACAAUGUGCCUCUGGCAUGAGGGCAUCGCUCACAGAGGUUCCAUCGAGGUGGCAAGCUGUCUUUUGAAGUGGGCAGAAACAUCUUUCGCUCCCCUAGUCCAGGCAAAGGAACGGAAGCUCAUCAUCUAUAGUGACCGAUGCUGUGGGCAGAACAACAACUGGCGAGUCCUAAACCUCAUGGCCCUACUCGUAUCUAGAGGGUACUUCAGUCAGAUAGAGCAGAAGUUCAUGGUGUCUGGUCACUCCUUCCUUCCCUGUAACCGUUCAUUUGCCACGCUGGACAAGAGGCAUAAGGUGUCCACACUCCACACCCCCAGCGAUGUCGCCGAGAUGAUCCGUGGAACCAGGCAGCUGCAUCCAUUUAAAGUAAUUGAGAUGAAAUGUACGGACUUCAGGCAGCUCCCUGAUGCAACAUUAAAACAUCCACCUGGCUUCUUAAUCACAUCCAUGAUGUGGUUGAAAGUGACAGCUACUGAUCCAUGGUGUGUCCACACAAAAGGGAGCCACAGCCUCUACGAGGGAUGGAAGCAUUGGCUGAUCACCAAACAGAGGAAGAAUCAACCACCUCCAGCUCCCUUGUUCUCCACCACGUAUGCUCGUGCUUACGAGGACCCUCUGCCCAUCAAGAAGGAGAAGCACCGUGACCUUAUGAAAAUGCUAGCCUACAUGCCAGCGGAGGCCCAAGCAUUUUAUGUGAAUGUGAAGAGUAGCCUGGUAUGUGUAGGUCAUGUGCAGGGAAAGGUGGGAUAUAUUGUGUAUAUUGUGUGAAAUUAAUCAUAAAAGUAGUUGUAGCUUAUCUUGUAUGCCUUAUCGUAUGUUGUAUAAUAGGAAUAUAUAGGUAUUUAUUUUAUUUUAUUUAGAACCAAAAAAAGGAAGACGUAUAUGGUAAACUAGCAUAUGGAACCAGCAUGGAAUGAAGAUGAUGUAUGUCUGUAUUGUAAAUAUGUAUUGUUUACCAUUAUUACUGUUGAUUGUUUGUAUGUAUUGUUUAUUGUAAGUAUGUACGGUUUGUUUGUACUGACAUUUAUUUUCUGUACUAUAAGUAGGCCUAUGUAUUGUUCAUUGUUCGUACCGUAUUGUCCGCGUUUUUGUUCUGUGAUUUACGUUGGCAAAAAAUAAAAGAAAUUGAAAGAAAGAAAUGCUUAAUAUUUUCUUUAAGGUUCUGUUACUGUAUUAAAACUAAGAUAAAGGAAUCAAAUCUCCAGUGGUUUAAAUUGAUUUGAUUAAUUGGACUUAUACUGUUAUUCCACAUUAACUGGACAUAUACUGUUCUUCCACAUUCCAGAAAUGUAAAUUACUCUAACUUUUUAUUUUUAAGAUUGAUACUAAAAAAUCCUAUCUCAUUAGAAUUGGGAAGCUUUUGUUGUCUAUCUUCAAGUAAAAAAAAAAAAGUAAUAUAAUAUUCAGAGUCCAAAUUAAAAAAAAUGUAUUAUUCAAAAAUUGAAAAUAUGGACUUAUAUGGUUCUUCGUCUCAAGCCCACAUUUA